AUUGAACGCUGGCGGCAGGCCUAACACAUGCAAGUCGAACGGCAGCGGGGGGUAGCUUGCUACCCCGCCGGCGAGUGGCGGACGGGUGAGUAAUGCCUGGGGAGCUGCCCAAUCGAGGGGGAUACCAGUUGGAAACGACUGCUAAUACCGCAUACGCCCUGAGGGGGAAAGGUGGGGAUCUUCGGACCUACCGCGAUUGGAUGCACCCAGGUGGGAUUAGCUAGUUGGUGAGGUAACGGCUCACCAAGGCGACGAUCUCUAGCUGGUCUGAGAGGAUGACCAGCCACACUGGAACUGAGACACGGUCCAGACUCCUACGGGAGGCAGCAGUGGGGAAUAUUGCACAAUGGGGGAAACCCUGAUGCAGCCAUGCCGCGUGUGUGAAGAAGGCCUUCGGGUUGUAAAGCACUUUCAGCGAGGAGGAGAGGUGGCUAGCUAAUACCUAGUUGCUGUGACGUUACUCGCAGAAGAAGCACCGGCUAACUCCGUG
rnacentral:rRNA from 1 species